AGCAUAUUUUGCUCAGGCGGAGCUCGACCGCCCGUUUCGCAAAUGAUCGCGUUUAUCGAUGAUAACCGUGAAGACUAUGGGGUCGAGCCGAUUUGCAAAGUUCUGCCAAUUGCCCCG
rfam:Alpha proteobacterium Q-1 DNA, contig: contig000006.